GAUGAACGCUGGUGGCGUGCCUAAUACAUGCAAGUCGAGCGAACAGACGAGGAGCUUGCUCCUCUGACGUUAGCGGCGGACGGGUGAGUAACACGUGGAUAACCUACCUAUAAGACUGGGAUAACUUCGGGAAACCGGAGCUAAUACCGGAUAAUAUAUUGAACCGCAUGGUUCAAUAGUGAAAGACGGUUUUGCUGUCACUUAUAGAUGGAUCCGCGCCGCAUUAGCUAGUUGGUAAGGUAACGGCUUACCAAGGCAACGAUGCGUAGCCGACCUGAGAGGGUGAUCGGCCACACUGGAACUGAGACACGGUCCAGACUCCUACGGGAGGCAGCAGUAGGGAAUCUUCCGCAAUGGGCGAAAGCUUGACGGAGCAACGCCGCGUGAGUGAUGAAGGUCUUCGGAUCGUAAAACUCCGUUAUUAGGGAAGAACAAAUGUGUAAGUAACUAUGCACGUCUUGACGGUACCUAAUCAGAAAGCCACGGCUAACUACGUG
rnacentral:rRNA from 1 species